AUGUCUACCUCAGAGGUUUCCGGGAGUGCCGAUUCCAUGGAUGAGGAUAUGAGUCAAGUACCACGUGUUAGAAGGUCCAAGGUGUGGGAGCAUUAUGAACAAGAUCUGGUUCGCAUACAUGGUGAUCUUAAGGCUGUGUGCAAAUAUUGUGGGACACAACUUCACACCAAGUUUGGGACUACGAGUUUGAGAACCCAUAUUGCAGAGUCUUGCAAAUCAAUUGAGGAUGGUUGUAGGAAGAAUUUUCUGUUGACUAUGAAAAAAACAACUUCCGAAGGCCCGUUUGUGUUUGAUCAAAAAGUUUGCCGUGAUCUCAUGGUCAAGUUUUGCAUCCAUCCUGAGAUCCCCUUUCUUAAGUUUGAAGAUCCAUACCUUUAG
rnacentral:rRNA from 1 species